rnacentral:lncRNA from 1 species
GGGUGAUCUGGGAUAUAUAAUUGUAUAUAAGAUAUUUGAAAAGAUGUAUUUAGUAUUAGGACGAACAACAAACUACAUGGGAAAAUUAUCUCUAGUACAGCUUCUUGAAAUCACUUGUUCAGAAACAGCAAAACACAAUGUCACUAUUUCAUGGGGAGAACUUAAUAUAGAAGGGCUUCAUGCAUUAAGAAAAGGUAGUCAAUCCUAGAGUAAAUGGUUGCUCAGGUUCCUAAAAAAAAACUCCAAUAAUACCCUCCAUGACUGUUUUCUCCCCACUUAUAAAUAGAAUAAAGAAGAAUUCAGUGGUGGGUAUAAAGUUAAUGAAUAAACAGCUUACUUUAACAAUACACAAACAGACUUCUUGGGAUGUUUUUAUGGUGUAGUCUUUACUUAAGUCAUCUUACCACUCAGUAGGGCAUGCCACUAAAGAUGCUAAUUAUGAACCAAGGCUCACACAAGCAUUUUUUAAAAAAAACUGAGCCAAUAUAGAUGGACUUUUGGGGUCUGUCACUUUUUAAAAGUUCUUAAGACAUAAACCAUAUUAGCACCACAGUCUGCCUUCAAUAAUGUACCUAAAAUGUUUUUCAGAACCAGAAGCAUUCAGUUGGACAAACUUUUGUAAAUGCAAAUCAGUAUUACUCUGGGUCAUAUAUUAAGUUUUUAAUAUUAACAGUAGUCUGGUAAAUAUUUAGAAGUCUGACAUUGAGAAACAAAAGCUUGUACCCAAGUAGAAUCUAAUUAAAUUAAAUUAGUUUUUAGCUUAUGUAAAUUCUUUCACAUUUAUUUAUCCAUAGAAUUUAUAUUUAUUUCAUUCCUUUUGUCUCACUGAAAGCUGUCUGCAGGUUCUUUGAUUUGGAUUAGAUGUGUGAAGUACUGUCUUUCGCCAAAAACCUCAAAUUUCCUGUUUUUUUCCCAACGCAGUGGGUUUGUGCUUGUUUGGAGAUCAGUUCAAAAACUAUCUGUACUAUCUGUACUGCCUCUGCUGUUAAGAUUUUAUGUAUAGCAUAAGGAAGCUAGCUCUGACUAUAUUUUCCUAAGAAUAAAGACCUAUUUUUGUAGCAUGUCUUAGGAUCUCCAGGAGUCCAAGAAUUAUUGUGAGUGUCCAUUUCAUCAUUUUUCACUCAACAGCUUUUAAAAAGACACUUGGAAUCUUUAGAGCUCUAUCGUCUUUUGAUCAUGCAAACAUUCAGAGUAACUAGCAAAUGGUGAAAACAAAUUUUUCAACAUUUCUAUUUCUGAGCACAAGACUGGGAGAUGUAUGGAAUAAAUGUUUUGGGCUGGUCUUCAUUGAAUUUUGUUUUGGAAAUACAUGGUUGCAUAUUCGCUUAGUUGAUUUAUGAACUCCAUGAUAAUUUGCUUCUCUGGGAACAUGCUUCACCAUGUAGUGUUCUUCUAUUCUCCAGUUUUAUUUCUGGCAAAUAAAAUUUCUUCGAGGAUUUC